GUCUUUUUUAAAAUAGUAUAUUCAUUUAUAUUUUCAUUUGAAUCCUAAGUAAAAUCGUAUCUCAUUCGUGGAUGUUGCCUGACCUUUGAAAUCGACUUUCGUACUCAAAGUGAAUCGCAACAGAUCUUCAUGGCUUUAAACUACGGUUUACUGCGUCAACUGCGGAAGAAGUAUCUACUUUCCUCAGUGUUUGUCACCUUUACUGUAAGCGCCAUCACCUUUGAUCUUUUUUCUGCGAGACACCGAAAGACUGAAAACAACAAUCAGGAUAAUCAGAACAAGAGUGUAUCAUAAUUUGUUAAAACAAUUGUUGUUUUGAUGGCUAUUGACUGGUGGAAAGUGUCAAUUGUGCGAAGAAUACUGCUUGGCCCAGUGCUGUGGACGUCGCUCCUUGUUGCUGGUUUAGUGUACGACUCCAGAGUCCGAGCAGACUACCUUGUAAACCUUAAAAAAGAAGUUGAAGACGUCAGAGUCAGUAUUGAGAAACAAAGGGAAGAGUUGGCAAUAGAAGUUGCUGAAAGGCGUAAACAAUUGGAACAGCAGAACCAUUAAUCAUCGAAAAUGAAGACUGGUCUAAGGUUGAUGUUUGCCCGCAGGUUUUGGUAUAUGUGGACUUUGCCAGCUGUCGUAGUGGGGUCUCUGGUCGCUGGAAAUCUUCACAUGCAAGAAAACUAUAAAGAGGCAUAUGCCUUUCGCGGGCAGAGCAAUCUCUUCCGGGAAGAUGCCGAAAAAUUAAAGCGUUCUGGGUCAGGCAGAGAAUUAUGGACAUAAAUAAUUUGUGUAACUUUACAGGCUUGCUGUUUGUUUGUAGAGAUUGAAAUAAACUUCUAGUUGUUUUGGAAUUAAGA